UACAGGGGGGGCAAGCGUUGUUCGGAAUUACUGGGCGUAAAGGGUUCGUAGGCGGCCAACUAAGUCACACGUGAAAUCCCCAGGCUUAACCUGGGAACUGCGUGUGAUACUGGAUGGCUUGAAUCCGGGAGAGGAAUGCGGAAUUCCAGGUGUAGCGGUGAAAUGCGUAGAUAUCUGGAGGAACACCGGUGGCGAAGGCGGCAUCCUGGACCGGUAUUGACGCUGAUGAACGAAAGCCAGGGGAGCAAACGGG
rnacentral:rRNA from 1 species